rnacentral:rRNA from 1 species
UGUGUAGGCGGUUGGAUAAGAGUGGUGUGAAAUCUCCCGGCUUAACUGGGAGGGUGCGCUACAGACUGUCUGACUAGAGUGUGGGAUGGGAGAGUGGAAUUCCUGGUGUAGCGGUGAAAUGCGUAGAUAUCAGGAGGAACACCGGUGGUGUAGACGGCUCUCUGGACCGUAACUGACGCUGAGACACGAAAGCUGGGUAGCAAACA